rnacentral:rRNA from 1 species
AUCCAUAGCCAUACAACCCUGACCAUGCUCAAUCUCUCCUGAUCUUAGAAGCUAAGCAGGGUUGGGCUUCGUUAGUAUUGGGAUGGAAGAAAUACUAAAAGAACUUCUUCAAACUGAAAGAAAGAGACAUUAAUGAGU